rfam:Cowpea polerovirus 2 isolate BE179, complete genome.
GGGAAACGGGAAGCGCGGCGCCGACCGCAGAACAACCGGA